GGCGAAGUGGCUCAAUCGGGUAGAGGCUGGGUUAUGGUGCAGAAGGUCAGGGGUUCGAGUCCCAGCUUGGUCA